GACGAACGCUGGCGGCGUGCUUAACACAUGCAAGUCGAACGGAAAGGCCCUGCUUUUGUGGGGUGCUCGAGUGGCGAACGGGUGAGUAACACGUGAGUAACCUGCCCUUGACUUUGGGAUAACUUCAGGAAACUGGGGCUAAUACCGGAUAGGAGCUCCUGCUGCAUGGUGGGGGUUGGAAAGUUUCGGCGGUUGGGGAUGGACUCGCGGCUUAUCAGCUUGUUGGUGGGGUAGUGGCUUGCCAAGGCUUUGACGGGUAGCCGGCCUGAGAGGGUGACCGGCCACAUUGGGACUGAGAUACGGCCCAGACUCCUACGGGAGGCAGCAGUGGGGAAUAUUGCACAAUGGGCGGAAGCCUGAUGCAGCAACGCCGCGUGCGGGAUGACGGCCUUCGGGUUGUAAACCGCUUUCGCCUGUGACGAAGCGUGAGUGACGGUAAUGGGUAAAGAAGCACCGGCUAACUACGUGC
rnacentral:rRNA from 1 species